rnacentral:rRNA from 1 species
UACGUAGGGGGCAAGCGUUGUCCGGAUUUACUGGGCGUAAAGAGCGUGUAGGCGGCCAAGCAGGUCUGUUGUGAAAACUGGAGGCUCAACCUCCAGACGUCGACGGAAACCGCUUGGCUAGAGUCCGGAAGAGGAGAGUGGAAUUCCUGGUGUAGCGGUGAAAUGCGCAGAUAUCAGGAAGAACACCAAUGGCGAAGGCAGCUCUCUGGGACGGUACUGACGCUGAGACGCGAAAGCGUGGGGAGCGAACAGG